rnacentral:rRNA from 1 species
UACGUAGGGUGCAAGCGUUAAUCGGAAUUACUGGGCGUAAAGCGCGCGUAGGUGGCUUGAUAAGCCGGUUGUGAAAGCCCCGGGCUCAACCUGGGAACGGCAUCCGGAACUGUCAGGCUAGAGUGCAGGAGAGGAAGGUAGAAUUCCCGGUGUAGCGGUGAAAUGCGUAGAGAUCGGGAGGAAUACCAGUGGCGAAGGCGGCCUUCUGGACUGACACUGACACUGAGGUGCGAAAGCGUGGGUAGCAAACAGG